rnacentral:lncRNA from 1 species
CUCUUGCCUUCUGCCAUGUAAGAUAUGACUGUGCUCCUCCUUCACCUUCUGCCAUGAUUGUGAGGCCUCCACAGCCAUGUGGAACUGGAAGCUGUUUUUCCCUCUUUGGGGUCUCAGAGAGAUUGGUGGCAAGGACUCCUGGGAAGAGAAAAGCUGAAGGACACUCUGGCAAGAGGUAAUAAGUUAGUCCUUGCAAAAUGGCCAUGGGCUGGAUGACAAGGAAAGAAGCAGCCAUUACAGGACACAGUGGGUGAAACUGACACAAGCUUAAGUUUUCUAGGAGCAAAUGUAUCUCAUAAUCAAUUUUAAGUUUUUUUUUUGUUCGCAAUUUCCAUAUAUUAUACCCAAGCACUCAGCAAAGUUGCAUUAUACAUCACAGCUCAGUCUAACCUGCAUUUGGAGAAUUAACCCAUUGUCCAUGUUUCUGCAAAGCCUCAUGAAGAGAGAUAUUAAGGGAACAAGAGGUGCCCUGCAAAGAGAUGAAGCUCCAGGCUAAGGCCAAGGUGAGAGCCUCGUGGGAAUUUCACAAAUUUUAUAGAAGCAGAGGAGUGCUAUUUGAGCAAGGGGCGGAUAACACCUACAAUCCACUCAGGAUUUCCAAGCAUAGCCGGAUGCAGAAGUACUCAUACUUCACUACAGAAUCACCUGGGGAGCUUUUAACCUUCUGAUUCUAGUGUUUCCCUCUGGCAGAUGGAGACAGAAACUUGACUGGGCUCAGGAAUAUGUGUUUUUAAAAUUCUCCAGAAGAUUUUAAUGCAGUACAAGUAAGAAGACAGGACUGCAAUUCACAAGAACAGUAUAUCCUGGUGAUUCCUCAGAACAGAACAGACUCAAAAAAAAAAAAAAAAGAAGAAGACAAAA